rnacentral:lncRNA from 10 species
GGGUUUGAGUCCCCUCUGGGAUACUUUCUACUGUGCAACUUUAGAAAAUCAGUGAACCUCCCAAGGCCUGUUUCCUCAUCUGGAAAAUGGGGUUAAUAAUACAUACUCCAUGGGAAUCUUGCAAGGAUUAAAUGGUGUAUGUUGGGUAGUUUGAAGAAGAGCCAUUAUUACACAGGCAGUCAAUAAAUGAUAUUUCAAUACAGAUAACCCUUCCUCAAAAGAACACCUUAACACAAGAGAUCUUGAUGGAUCAUCGUUAUCAAAUGAAUAUAAAAUGAAAUCUAAACAGGACUGAUAAUGCUUCUAAAUAGUACCUCUGCUUGUAAUGAAGAUAAUUCCUAGAGUGUAUGUUAGAGUCUUCCCAAGUUGGUCUAGGGAGUGGAAGAAAGAAGAAAUAAAUUUACCCCAAAUGCAAGGUAUAGCUUGUCAUGCAAUAAGGAUGACAUGAUUCCAAGUGACAUUUAUUUCAGAUGGCUGAAUAUGCCAUAUUGUUUUACAUUAAGCCACUCAAUAUGUGGCCCCGAAUCUCUUAUGAUCAAAUCUGAGCAAAGAUAUAAAGAUACGAAAAUUAUCAUUAAGGAUGUCCAUUAGAAGUACAAAACCAGGGCAAAACAUUUUUAAGUGCAAAAACUUAUACUUUAAAAAUAUGUCACGAGUCUAUCAGGGGCUGGAAUGGAAACAACUCCUUUAAAUGGGAGCUUGGAGAAAAUGUCAUUUUUAUGAAGCAUAAUCACUAAGUAAGCUAUGGUACUUUUCCAUAUAGCUUAUGAUAUUCUUACAUAAAACAAUUUAAGCUUGAUCUGUGGCUGAUAAUGAAGGUUGCUGGAAGUCACUAGAGUAAUUAAAAUAAUUACCUAACUUCGGAGCGUCUGCACA